rnacentral:rRNA from 1 species
AGUAACGGCGAGUGAAGCGGGAAGAGCUCAAAUUUAAAAUCUGGCGGUGUAUUCCGUCCGAGUUGUAGUCUAGAGAAGCAUCAUCCGUGCUGGACCAUGUACAAGUCUCUUGGAAUAGAGCGUCAUAGAGGGUGAGAAUCCCGUCCUUGACAUGGACUACCAGUGCUUUGUGUUGUGCUCUCAACGAGUCGAGUUGUUUGGGA